UCCAAUUUCUGGUGGAAAAUACGCUAAAUGCAUGUGUGUGACAGUGUGUGUGUAUCCUUUUUUGACUCGCGAUCGCCGUGCCAAAAUUUCUGAAAAAAUGGAUCAAAUUCGGCAUAAAUGUGGAUAUUGUGGGUGGCUCUUUAGCUUCACCACAAAUUUUAUUGAUCAUAAGUGCUUCAAGCAGUACGUUGAAGGAGAAGACCACAUCAGCAUCGAUGAAAACCAUAUCGUAACAAUAAGUAUAAUUUGUUGGCAAGAACCGCUAAUACGAAAUUAGAAUCCAUGUUUAAGAGAUUCCAGGUUUUUUGUGCUAGACACGCGUCGUCAACCAGUCAACCACUCCGUAUACUUUAUUUAGGUUAUUUCACGCAUACUCGUACAUACAUUACACACA